rnacentral:rRNA from 1 species
UACGAAGGGGGCUAGCGUUGUUCGGAAUUACUGGGCGUAAAGCGCAUGUAGGCGGAUUUUUAAGUCAGAGGUGAAAUCCCGGGGCUCAACUCCGGAACUGCCUUUGAUACUGGAGAUCUAGAGUUUGGGAGAGGUGAGUGGAACUGCGAGUGUAGAGGUGAAAUUCGUAGAUAUUCGCAAGAACACCAGUGGCGAAGGCGGCUCACUGGCCCUGGACUGACGAUGAGGUGCGAAAGAGUGGGGAGCAAACAGG